rnacentral:rRNA from 1 species
UACGUAGGGUGCAAGCGUUGUCCGGAAUUAUUGGGCGUAAAGAGCUCGUAGGCGGUUUGUCGCGUCUGCUGUGAAAACUCAGGGCUUAACUCUGAGCUUGCAGUGGGUACGGGCAGACUAGAGUGCGGUAGGGGAGACUGGAAUUCCUGGUGUAGCGGUGAAAUGCGCAGAUAUCAGGAGGAACACCGGUGGCGAAGGCGGUUCUCUGGGCAUGUCCUGACGCUGAGGAGCGAAAGUGUGGGGAGCGAACAGG